CUACUAUGAAUUUUGUCCAACCCUGUAUAAUGACAAUGGCAGUUGUUCACUUAAUCACUUAUUAGAUUUUAAAAAAACAAAAAACCACACACACACACACACACAUAUUUCCUGUUACUUACCAUAUAGGCAGAACUAUAUAUAAUAACUCUUUAUUUUAUAACAACUAGAGCUGCUAUAUUUCACAAACCUCUCCUGGAUAUUUGGGACCUGCAGUGAUAUCUGAGCGAACAGAGCAUCUGAAAACACCAGGCAUGGCCAGGGAAAUUCAGGCUUUUACCAGUGUCUGCUGAAGGUACAGAUUAACAACAAAACCUGAUAAUUGAGAGCUGAAUAUGUUUUAUAUAUUUUUAUGCAUUAUAUCAUUACAGCGUGAAGAAAAUAUGAAGGGGUCAGUUUCUGCUGGAAUGUUCCUUUAACUAAUGUAUAUAUGCAAUAAUGGCUGAUUACACAGAAAGCACAAAUAAACCUUUGCUCCCUACAUGGCAUUCUUAAAACUUGCAUGUCAUCCUC